rnacentral:rRNA from 1 species
CUACGUGCCAGCAGCCGCGGUAAUACGGAAGGUCCUGGUGUUAUCCGGAUUUAUUGGGUUUAAAGGGAGCGUAGGCCGUAGAUUAAGUGUGUUGUGAAAUGUAGGCGCCCAACGUCUGCCUUGCAGCGCAAACUGGUUUACUUGAGUACGCGCAACGCAGGCGGAAUUCGUCGUGUAGCGGUGAAAUGCUUAGAUAUGACGAAGAACUCCUAUUGCGAAGGCAGCUUGCGGGAGCGUUACUGACGCUGAAGCUCGAAAGUGCGGGUAUCGAACAGGAUUAGAUACCCUGGUAGUCCGCACGGUAAACGAUGGAUGCCCGUUUUUGGCUUAUUUUAGCCAGAGACCAAGCGAAAGCAUUAAGCAUCCCACCUGGGGAGUACGCCGGCAACGGUGAAACUCAAAGGAAUUGACGGGGGCCCGCACAAGCGGAGGAACAUGUGGUUUAAUUCGAUGAUACGCGAGGAACCUUACCCGGGCUUGAAUUGCAGACGACGUAUUUAGAGAUAGAUAUUCA